rnacentral:rRNA from 1 species
CACUAUCGUUAAGUGAAUACAUAGCUUAACGAAGCGAACCGGGGGAACUGAAACAUCUAAGUACCCCGAGGAAAAGAAAUCAACCGAGAUUCCCCCAGUAGCGGCGAGCGAACGGGGAGCAGCCCAGAGUCUGAAUCAGCGCGUGUGUUAGUGGAACGGUCUGGAAAGUCCGGCGGUACAGGGUGAUAGCCCCGUACACUAAAAUGCACACGUUGUGAACUCGAAGAGUAGGGCGGGACACGUGGUA